rnacentral:tRNA from 1 species
CGGAGUGUAGCGCAGUUGGUAGCGCGCAGCGUUCGGGACGCUGAGGUCGGCGGUUCGAGUCCGCCCACUCCGA